AUCAGGUGAUUUGAAGGUUUUUGUCUAAUGAAACUAAUAUAUUCUUUCUUACAAAGUUCAAGUAUCACACAAAUUAUAGACACAGAGUAAGUGCCCACAAUCCCAUAUCGCAGCAGUAACCACAGUAGAUUCCUCCAACUCUUUUAUAUAAACGUUAAUAUAUAAUCUUUGAAUAACAAAAUUAGGAUUAUACUUACGUUACUUGUAAUGAAU
rnacentral:lncRNA from 1 species